rnacentral:piRNA from 8 species
UCUGGACUCUGAAUCCAGCGAUCCGA